CAAACGACUCUCGGCAACGGAUAUCUCGGCUCUCGCAUCGAUGAAGAACGUAGCGAAAUGCGAUACCUGGUGUGAAUUGCAAAAUCCCGCGAACCAUCGAGACUUUGAACGCAAGUUGCGCCCGAGGCCUUCGGGCCGAGGGCACGCCUGCCUGGGCGUCACGC
rnacentral:rRNA from 1 species